rnacentral:rRNA from 1 species
UACAGAGGGUGCGAGCGUUAAUCGGAAUUACUGGGCGUAAAGGGCGCGUAGGCGGUUUAUCAAGUGAGAUGUGAAAUCCCCGGGCUUAACCUGGGAACUGCAUCUUAAACUGAUGAGCUGGAGUACUGUAGAGGACAGUGGAAUUUCCGGUGUAGCGGUGAAAUGCGUAGAGAUCGGAAGGAACAUCAGUGGCGAAGGCGACUGUCUGGACAGAUACUGACGCUGAGGCGCGAAAGCGUGGGGAGCAAACAGG